UUAUCCUACGGGACGCAGCAGGGAAUCUUCCACAAUGGGCGAAAGCCUGAUGGAGCAACGCCGCGUGGGUGAAGAAGGUCUUCGGAUCGUAAAACCCUGUUGUUAGAGUAGAAAGUGCGUGAGAGUAACUGUUCACGUUUCGACGGUAUCUAACCAGAAAGCCACGGCUAACUACGUGCCAGCAGCCGCGGUAAUACGUAGGUGGCAAGCGUUAUCCGGAUUUAUUGGGCGUAAAGGGAACGCAGGCGGUCUUUUAAGUCUGAUGUGAAAGCCUUCGGCUUAACCGGAGUAGUGCAUUGGAAACU
rnacentral:rRNA from 1 species